rnacentral:lncRNA from 1 species
AUUUCCGAACGUUUUCUCCAGAGAUCUGACCAAACAAAGCUUUUAAAAGAGAAUUCAACAACGGAAUCCAACAAAAGUUUCGGUAUAAUCGAUUUUCCUUACUGAAGUGCUUGAUGUGUUUUUGUAACUUCCACCAUAAUAUCCUGGUCAUUCGAUUCCACUAAUUUCUGCAGAAAAAUAAAAAGAAUCACGUUAACAUUACAGUUUUACAUCAACAGGAGUUCAAAAUUUGUGAAACUCACUCGUUUAUGAUCACAAUCUGGAGUGGCUGCUUCAAGAUUUUCAAAGUGGUUAUGAAACUGAGGAUCUUUGGUUUGAAUUCUGUUGCGUCCAGUGAAGAGUGAUCCUGCAAGAAAGCUUGCAAAGCAUAGGACCAAGGUGAGUUUACCAUUCAUUGGCUUUCCCCUCAUUUUUCUCUGCGUUUCUGCUUCCUGUUUUAGCAACUAAAAUUGUUCAGCUUCACCUACAACAUUCUCAUUGCUUUGCUGCAAAUGGUUACUUAUAAUUCAUUUAUGCAUAUACAUAUAGACAGAUAUAUAGAUCGUAGAGUUUAGGGAUUGUGUCUUCAUUUGUGGAUUCAUGGGUUUAUUAAGUAAUAAAAAAUAAAUUCUGGGUUGUAGUGGGACGUUUGAGACUUAAACAUACCGUAUGGGGGAUCUUUAAGAUAGGAAUGAUGAGAUGUUUUUAUAUGAAUUAUUGUUAGGUAAUAAUGGGGGGAUGCUUCAAAAUUGAAUUAAAGUUGAAGUAAAUGCAAUUAGGCAAAGGGAGAGGAGGAGGAAGAGGUUGGCAAAUGGAGGCUUGGAAAGUUUUGAAGAGUUGAAAAUAGGCCAAAAAGAUGAUCAAAAGUGUAAUACACAAGUAGUUAGGUAAAGUACCUUGAAAAUUAAUGAUGGGGAUUGAAUUGAGGAAUUAAUUAGAGAGAGAGAGAGGAAGGGAUUUUGAAGUUUUGAGUUUUAGAAUUGAAUGAUUGAAGAUUAUAAGAGGAGAAGAAGAUGGAAGGAAGAUCUAAGAAGAGAGGGAUGAAGUGUAGAGAGGUAGUUAAUUCAUGUGUAGUGUGUGGCCCAACAAACUGUUUGCUAAACCUUAACAUUCUAAUUCUUAAGCUCUGUUUUUGGGAAGCAUCAACAUGUACACUCUCUCCUAACUUAGCUCACAUUUUCGCUAAUCCUAUACUAUUUGACUGUCAAGAAAACUCGGAGAGCUUUUAGAGUUCUUUGAUUUGGUAUAUGAAUUUUGCUGUAUGCUCUUUAGAUUAUUGAAUUCCAUGACUAUUCAUUUCACAAACUUGUUUCUUAGACUGUUUUUGUUUUUGGUUUAAGUGAUCCAAAUAGCAGAAAUUUUGAAAACAACGUUUUCAUAUCUGGAUUUUGAAUUUGAAAUCUUGAUGUUAACUUAGAUGAAUACAAUAUUUCAUACUAUAAACCUAUUUCAUCCGUGUCAAAUUAAAUUAUGUAUAAUAUAAUAUGGUAUACAUAAUAUGACCUUCUAAAUUAAAAUUCAUAUGCCAAACACAAGCAUUUUUAAUCACUCGUUCUCUGCUGUUUCUAGUUGAUUUCUAGUUGUAAGUUUAACAAGAGAAACUUUAUCCUCCUUCAGGAGGUUGGUACUGAUAGGAUUUGAUUUUAUUAUAAUCAUAAUUUCUUUUUAAAAAAUACGAGCAUAGUUAAAUUGGUUCUACCAAAGUCGAUGUCAUAGGCUUGAUUCCCUCAUAUCACGCAUUGCCAAAAGAAAAUUGCCAAAAGAAAAUAAAAAAAAGUACUACUCAAAUAAAAUUUAUAGCCUAAAAACACAGGCUGAUACAUUAUUUAAAAAUAGUUGAGCUUUAACUUGAUAUGUAUCUAAUAGCUAGAGCCCAAAACUAUUCUUAUCCUUUCCAAAUCUAUUAUUGAACACAUUCUUAGCCGUGGUUUAAAUCUUAUUUUGGUACAUGAAAAUUUUAGGAUUAUUCUAUUUUGACCUAUAUGUACAAACAUUGUUUAAAAGUGAAAUUAUUUGACUCUAAUAUAUGUACCUUGGCCUGCAUUGGGGACAAGCGGGACUGGGUGGAUAACUAUUAGGUUAGGUGAUAAAAUAAUAGCAAAUAUCAAAGGAAUGUUUGAGACACUGAGUUGAUUAUUAUAUUUCGUCUGUUAUAAUAGUUUGUGUUUGGGUACAAAUUAUUUUAGUAAAAAAAUUAUUUUCUUCUCCCUUAUAACUACAUUAAAAUAAUUUUUUAUUUGUUAUUUCCUACCGUUCAUGAAUGAACAUGUUAAACCGAUUAUCAAGCUUGGGGAGUCGCUUAGCCCUCUAUGACCCCUCAACGGUUGGUUAGGGGAGAUGAGCCCUCAUGGCAUGCCCACGUCACUAUCGCCUGGUUAACUACCCCCAACUAUCGAGGAUGAGUAGAUCCGAAGCCCCACUCCAAGAAGUUGGAGAAAGCCAUGAGGAAACAAGGGGCAGUGGAAGAUGAGCAUCCUCGAACUACACUCUUUUUGUGUUUUUUCUUGAAUUACUCACCUUUUGAAGUAAUAGACUUGCUAUCAUAUUGGUGCAAGGAUCUCUUAUUCGGAUCAUCUCAAAUUAGACUAGAGAGACUUUAGGCCAAAGCACCCACGAGGAAUUAGCUCAAUGUGUUCGAGAUUUGAAUGCCAACUAUAGUCAACAACGACGAGCGAUGGUAGCAACAAUGACUACUACUAUCUUUUUGUUGAAAAAAUAUGCAUGAUUAUUGUUUUGUAAAUUCUAUAGUUUUUUUUAUCAUGUAAUAUGCAUUUUAAUUUAAUUGAGUCUUAUAUCUUAA